CCUGUUUGAGUUCAACUUGUUUGGGGCCCUCUGUGCUUCCUGUAACUCUAUAUCAGUAUGCUUUAGAUUUGGAACAUUUUCUGCCACAAUUUCUUCAAAUAUAUUUUCAAUCCCCUUUUCUUUUUCUUUUCCUUCCAGAAUUCUUAUUAUGCAUAGUUUGGCCUGCUUUAUAUUAUCCCAUAUUUUUCAUAUUUUUUCAUUUGGUUUUCUGUCCGCUGUCCUGUUUGGGUAAUUUCCAUUAUUCUAUCUUCCACAUCACUAAUUUGUUCCUCUCCAUUAUUCAUUCUGGCCUUUAUUGCCUUAAGCUCAGGUUGUAUCUCUGCAAAUGAGUUUUCUAGUUUUUAUUGGCUCCUCCUUAUAUUUUCUAGUUCUUUUCUGAGGGAAUCUGCAUUACUGUUCAUAUCUUCUCUUAAUACCUUUAGUAUUUUCACUAUCUCCCUUUUGAACUCAAAGUCUGUCAGACUGCAGAGUUUUGUUUCAUUGUUGACUGCUUUAGGUGAGUUCUCCUGUUGUUUUAACUGGGAGAGGUUUCUGAGUUUUUUCAUCUUGCUUGUGUUUUUCUGUGAAAUAUACCCCUUUGUAUUUUUGGAGGGGUUACUAUUUAUUUUUGGUGUGGGAGUUUGAAUCUUUGCUAUCUCUUUCUUCUGUGCAAUCAGUCUGUUAUCCCCAGGAUGCUCAGUGUGUUUUUGGGAAGAAGGGAGCAAUGGGUAGGGCCAGCAUUCACUGCCUGAGUCAUUAGGCUCUCAACAGAAUCAAAGACUUGCAGAAAGGUGGCACAGGUUACUCCUAUUUGCAGGGCCCUGGAAAGUGAUAAUAAGCUCUAGGAGGAUCUGCAAAGUGACCAGAGAAUUUGGCUGUAGCUGCAGCAGGAUGCAUGAGUUCCCAGGGGGUUGAGAGCAACAACAGCUUAUGUUUGAUUGCAAUGCCCUCCUCUGAGGUAAUUGGAACUGCAGGUGGUGCCUGUUCAGGAACCCCUAGUGGGAGUAGGCCAUGACCAUCUCUAGUUUCAGUGAUUACUGCGGUCGUGUGUCUCCAUCACCUGUAGACCAUGCAUGAGGUGAUCCAUAUUACUUAGCCCACAUAGGAAGUGCUGUACAGGCUGUUCCUAGCUGCAGGAUCCUGGGAAGUGACAGAGAUCUCUCAUAUGGGUACUGCCAUGAACAUUCAGCCGUGGCAGCAGCAGGGUUCGUGUGUUCCCAAGGGUGCAAGAGCACCAAUAUUUGAUUCAGUCACAAUGCCUGCCUCUGUGAUGCCCUUGAGGUGAAUGGGGCUGCAAGUGGUGCCUGUUCACUGACUCCUAGUUGGGCCACUGCCACCUCUGGAGCCAGAGAUAACUGCAGCAGUUUUCCCCCACCACCUGUAAAUCAUGCACGAAGCACCUGGUCCUGCUUAGCCCCCACAGGAUGUGCUGAACUAGGUGCUCUUAGUUGCAGGUUCCUAGGAAGGGACAGUGAUCAAGUGUCUGGGCCCCUCCCAGAAUGUUUGGCAGUGGCAGCUACAGUGUGGUGUGCUCCCUGGGGAGCGAGAGCAACAUCAGGUGCUUUUCCAUUGUAGAGUCCUUCUCUGCGAUGCCCCCUGAAGUGGUUGGGGCUGCAAGUGAUUUUUGUUCAGUUAUUCCCAGUUGUGGUAGGCCAUGCCCACUUCUAGAGUCAGGGAUAAUUGUUGUGGUUUGCUCCUGCCACCUGCAGGUCCAGUCCAUGGUGGUCUAGCAAGCAGUUUCCCACUUCUGGAGACACCAGGCCUGCAGUGGGCUAGCAAGCGACUUCUGGUCGUGAGGGGCUGCACCUGAGAUGCGUAGUCUAGGGCCUGCAGGGAUGGGGUGGCCCAGAGUGCUAAGGAGCAGUGGCUUGGCCUCCCGCAGUGGUGGGGGAGGAGGUGGAGGCAUCCCGGAGUGUUACCAACAGCCUGCAGCUUCCCAUGGGGGCGGGGGUGGCCGGAGUGAGGCUUCUGGUCACACCCUUGGGGCAUGCUGUGCUGGGGGAUGCUCUGUCCUCUGUGAGCCAUUGGGGCAAGUGUGCGCUCGGGUGCAAGGAGUUUUCUAUGGCUGCGGCUAGCCCCUUCUCCUCUCCCCUCCCCAACAAUGGCACCUUAUCUCUCCUGUGGCUCCGGACCUUCUCCUGGGCUCCCUCUGCCAUGGCUUUCCACUUCCCAGCCCUUAGUGUACCACUUCUCCCACCUAAGGCAGCACUGCUCCCUAGUGCCUUAGGCUGUCUCCACACCACCAAUUCCAGCCCGCUCCCAGGGACUGACCUCCAGAGUCUUAAGUCUCACUGCCAACCCCCACCUGAGCUUCUCAGGCUGUGGUGUCUGCACCAGUGGUUCAGAUGAUCUGUGCUUCUCUCACUCUGCUUUUCAGUUCUCAGUCCAGCUGCUGCGCUUUCCUUGGCGUCUUGGAUAUCUCUCCGACUCUGCUGAUCUUUCCCUUUAUGUGGCUUCCCAGGGUGUGGGUUCCCUUUCUCCUUCACAGCUACCUCUCGGGAAUGCUUGUCCUGCUCUGAUUCCUUUUCUCUCUCCCUUUUUUCUUUUGUUCUACCCAGUUAUGUCAAGAGUUUCUUGCCCUUUUUGGAGGUUUAAGUUCUUCUGCCAGCAUGCAGUUGACAUCCUGUGUGAGUCGUUUUACAUGUAGAUGUGGUUUUUUUGAGGUGUUUGUGGGAGAGGGUGAGCAUGUCCUCUUACUCUUGCACCAUCUUGUCUGAAUAGUAUUUUGUUUUGUUUUGUUUUGCUUUUUAUGGCCACAUCCAUGGCUGGGGUUGAAUCAGAGCUGUAGCCGCCAGCCUAUGCCAAACCCCCCAUAGCAACACCAAAUCCUAAGCUGUGUCUGCAACCAACAUCACAGCUCUUGGCAGUGCUGGAUCCUUAACCCACUGAGCAGGGCCAGGGAUCAAACCUGCAUCCUCAUGGAUACUAGUCAGGUUCAUUUCCACUGAGCCACAGUAGGAAAUCUAUGGUUUCCAGAGUUUUUAUUAAGGUGUUUUAAUUAAUGUACUACUUUUUUUUUUCCCCCUUAUGGAGGAAUAUGACUUGGAACAUCCUAGGCCACAAUAUUCUUGAUGACUUUAUUUUAGUUUUGACUCAAAUGCUUUUAGAAUAUAAUAGAGUAUUGCCAUGUCAAAGGAAGGGACUAAUUUGUUACAUGACUUUUAUGUGUAUCAUGUGGUACCAUAGUUCACUAGUGGUGAAAUAAGUUAAGAAUCUGGCAUUGGCACUGCAGUGGCUCGGGUCACUGCUGAGGCAAGUGUUCGAUCCCUGGCCCAGGAACUUCCACAUGCCACAAGCGUUGCAAUAGAAAAGUUUCAGUAGAUCUGCCAGUUUUUGCUCAUUAAAAAUAAUGCUAUCAGGAGUUCCCUUCGUGGCUCAGUGGUUAACGAAUCCGACUAGGAACCAUGAGAUUGUGGGUUCGGUCCCUGCCCUUGCUCAGUGGGUUAACGAUCCGGCGUUGCCGUGAGCUGUGGUGUAGGUUGCAGACUCGGCUCGGAUCCUGCGUUGCUGUGGCUCUGGCGUAGGCCGAUGGCUACAGCUCCAAUUAGACCCCUAGCCUGGGCUCCAUAUGCCACGGGAGCGGCCCAAAGAAAUAGC
rnacentral:lncRNA from 1 species